AGCGACCUACGGGGGGCAGCAGUGGGGAAUAUUGGGCAAUGGGCGAAAGCCUGACCCAGCAACGCCGCGGGAAGGAAGAAGGCUUUCGGGUUGUAAACUUCUUUUGACAGGGAAGAGCAGAAGACGGUACCUGUCGAAUAAGCCCCGGCUAACUACGUGCCAGCAGCCGCGGUAAUACGUAGGUGGCAAGCGUUGUCCGGAUUUACUGGGUGUAAAGGGCGUGUAGCCGGGCUGACAAGUCAGAUGUGAAAUCCGG
rnacentral:rRNA from 1 species